AGUGAACGCUGGCGGUAGGCCUAACACAUGCAAGUCGAACGGCAGCACAGUAAGAGCUUGCUCUUACGGGUGGCGAGUGGCGGACGGGUGAGGAAUAAAUCGGAAUCUACUUUUUCGUGGGGGAUAACGUAGGGAAACUAACGCUAAUACCGCAUACGACCUACGGGUGAAAGCAGGGGAUCUUCGGACCUUGCGCGAUUGAAUGAGCCGAUGUCGGAUUAGCUAGUUGGCGGGGUAAAGGCCCACCAAGGCGACGAUCCGUAGCUGGUCUGAGAGGAUGAUCAGCCACACUGGAACUGAGACACGGUCCAGACUCCUACGGGAGGCAGCAGUGGGGAAUAUUGGACAAUGGGCGCAAGCCUGAUCCAGCCAUACCGCGUGGGUGAAGAAGGCCUUCUGGUUGUAAAGCCCUUUUGUUGGGAAAGAAAAGCAGCAGGUUAAUACCCCGCUGUUCUGACGGUACCCAAAGAAUAAGCACCGGCUAACUUCGUG
rnacentral:rRNA from 1 species